rnacentral:lncRNA from 1 species
GGGUUUUCUUACCACAAUAAUUUAUUAAGGUCAUGAAAGCCGAUAUCAUUGUCUAGUUCAUAGCCUUAGGGGAAAAGCUUUGAGUUUUUCAGCAUUGAGUAUGGUGUUAGCUGUGGGUUUCUCAUCUAUGUCUUAUGUUAAGGGAGUUUUCGGCCAUUCCUUGUUUUUAUCAAAAAUGAGUUGAAUUUUGUCAAAGCUUUUUCUCUACCAUGUGCUUUUCUCUCCUUCAUUCUAUUAAUGUGGUGUAUUACUUUGACUGAUUUUCCUAUGUUGAACGAUCCUUCCACUCUGAGAAAAAAUUCCAUGUGCUCCUGGUAUAUAAUCCAUUCAUUAUGGUAUAAGGUUUGCUAGUAUUUCGUUGAUUUUUGCAUUAAUAUUGAUAAAGGAUACUGUAGUUUUAUGUUCUUGUAGAGUCUUUGUCUCUUUUGGCAUCAGGGUAAGGAGGGCCUUAUAUAAUGAGUUAGGAAGUGUUUUCUCCUCUUUGAUUUUUUUUCCUUUUUUAAAAAAAACUAGAGAUGGGUUUUGCCGUGUUGCCCAGGCUGGUCUCCAACUCCUGGGCUCAAGCGAUCUGCCCGCCUCAGCCUCCCAAAAUGCUGGGAUUACAGGCGCCAGCCACCAUGCCUGGCUUAAUUUUUGUAUUUUUAGAAGGGUCGGGGUUUCACCAUGUUCACCAGGCUGGUCUCAAACACCUGACCUCAGGUGAUCCACCUGCCUCAGCCUCCCGAAGUGCUGGGAUAAGAGCCAGGAGCCACCACGCCCAGCCAGUAUUGUUCUAGCAGCCUGCACUGACUCUGGCCGACUCUUGCAGAAGACACUGGUUAGAGAGGACAGUCAGGAGGGGCAACAUCAGGCUUCAAGCUGUGUGAAAGGGGAAGUUUUGCUCAGCAGCAAGUUCUCUCUGGAUUAAGAGUUUUGUGAUUGGCAGCCACAGUGAACUAGAGAGACGCGUCUGCCAGGGAGAGCCUGCACCUCCCACAAGGUGGCCUCAGGAAAGGAGUCUGUAUUCUGCAAUCACUGACUUGCUGCUGAAAAAUCCAGAUGAAAAGAAAGGCGGGGCUUUCCUGCUGGCUUCAGUCUGGAGAUCUGACUCCAGCUUCCUGCUGGCCACCAGGCAGGGGUGGUGGAAGGAGCGGUUUUUGCAGGUAAAGAACCGUGGCCUCAUCGUACAGUCCCUGGAGCAGCCAUGUCCCUCUAGGCAGACGACUUCGAUCAUAAACUACCAAGAUACCUGGAGCGAUCAGAUGAGCCUCGGCCUACUCUUGAAGCUAAAGGAAGGCUGCUAGCAAGACUGGCAUCUGGGCUUGGCUGUGCGUGUUUUCCAUUGUGGGAAAAUAUACAUAACACAAUAUUUGUAAUUUGAACCUUUUAACCAAAGUGUGCACGCAGUGGCAUUGAAUAUAUUCACUUACACUUAAGGCACAAUGACAAGGCAGCAAAGGGCUGUUGGGUGAUUAGUUCACCACACUUGUUGCAACUGUUUGUACUGCAGAGUUAAAACAUACCAGCAUUCAACCCAUGUCUCCUCUCUUGAAAUAAACUGUCCCCUUUGCAAGGGACCUAAAUCUCCAUUUACAGAAC